UUUAUUCCUUUAUAAUGUAUCCUUUCUUUAAAAAGUUUGGGACACCUUUCAAUGAUAACAUUAAUUUUUUAAGCAUCUAUACAAUUAAGUUAUAUUAUAAUGAGCAUCAAUUUACUUUGCAAAGAACUUCAACUUAUAUAUGAUUUGAUUCCUGCACAUUCCUCCUCUUUUAUUAUUAAUUUUGUGCAAAUUCCAGGUGUGAAUUCAUUUAUUCAUAGUAUUUAAUAUGUUUAAACGGUUUAGGCCUCUUUUGAAAAAAAUCCAUCAUCAUCCUUCAUAUCAACAGUAAUUCCUUAAUAUCAGUAAAUAUCCAGCCACAUUUUCCAACUUUCAAUUUUCUCAUAAAUACUACUUAUUUUUUUGUAAUUUUGAAUUUAGAUAAGUCUCAAGUAUGUUUUUCAUCUACAGUUCUCUUUCUACAAUCUUUUUUCUUUCAAUUUUAUUCAUUGGAAUUAUUAAUUUAUUUCAUAUCAACAACUUGCUUCAGUCUGUUUUGCUGAUUACAGCCUUGUGGUAGUGUUCACUUUUCUCUAGUUUCUUUUCUCAGUUUAGUAGUUAGCUCUAUGAGACUCUAUCAGAUUGAAAUGACUUUUUGGGCAUGAAUGUUUCAUGGUUCAUGAUGUGUUCUUCUAUUAGGUAUUCAUAAUGUCUGGUUUUCUCCCUUUUUGUGAUUCUAUCAGCUGCUGAUGAUCAAUGGAUUAAUUCAUGAUAAUUUUGAUUCUGAUAUGAUGAAUUGUUCUUGUAGAAUUACCAACAGUUAGGGGAAGAGGAAAUGCUGCUUGAAGCACGUUCAAAAGUUUAGAAGAAAUAGUAUUAAAUGCCAAAAUAUUUUCUUAACUAGAGAGAAACCUAGUAAGAAAAAAAAAGGAAGAAAAUAUGUUGGCUUUUAUCACUUUUUAUUUUCCUGAGCUUUUUUUCUUGAUGAGAGGUUGUGUUGUGGAAUUGCCAGCCAGGUCUUUGUCAUGAAACAGUUUCCAGUUUGUGUUCCGUGGUAUUGGACAAGUGGUCUUGAAUAAGUUAGUAUCACUGAGCCUCUCAGUUUUCUAGCUGUUAAAUGAUCAUACAAUGAAUGCAUGCACAUAACAACCUUAGACUUUUCUUCUGCUCCAGUUCCCAACAUAUAAGUAAAUAUACUAUGUGUUUUGGCAUAUUUUGAUGAAUUUAUAUUAUCUUUUGACUCUACAAGUUCUUCUGAUGUAAGGGAGAAAUGUGAUAUUAAUCCUAUUCUUGUGCAGACAAUAAAAAUUUAUGUUGUUUAGGAGAAGUAGGAAGAGGAAAUACUAUACCUUGCACUGAGCGAUUUUUCUCCCCAGAAUUGUUGUGGGAAAUGCCAGAAAUAGAGACAUUGCUCACAUAUUUAUCUGCAUAUGUCUGGAUUCAAUCAGUUUGUCAACAUCUUUGCUGUUUUUGAUGUCAGGCUUCUCAGUGACUGUGGAGCCUACAGUUCCAUGAAAAUCUGAUAAUGGAGCAGAGGACUGUGGUCUGGGGAGUUCAUUGUUUAUAGUUUCUAAGAGCUGGAGGAAAGGAAAGAUUGGAUCUGAAUAUUGUGUAAAUUCUGUUUACAGAAUUUGCAGUUUGUGGAACACCUUCACAACUUGUGUCUUGUCAUUUAAAGCAACCUUGUAAAGUAGUUGUUGCAAAGUCUGUAUUGUGUUUCAAAUUAUAGUUUAACCAACUCACAUACUGACUGGCUUUUGGCUAUUACUGACAAUUCUAUAUAAAGCUUCAAACAAGGAAGAGACAUUCUUUUCACCUCUCCCUGUCUACCCAUACAACUUUCAUGAUUCAUUCCUGUGUUGUAACUUGUUGCUCUUUUCCUUUAAAGUUUCUUUUACCAUCUGCUUAUUUCCUCCCCACUCCACUUCCUUGACUGUGCAUUCUAGUCCUUUCUUUCAUAUUUUUUAAUGAAUAAAUCUCCUUUUUGCCACUAUCCCUCAGACAUUCUCCUCAUGGAAAAUUUUCUUACAGUUUUUUUCUCAUUUGCCAAGUGUACACUACAGUACUAUAUGUACAGUAAGAAGUUAUUUUCAGAGCUUAGAUAAUCCUUUGUGUAUAUAUGAUUCAGAUCUUAAAGGAGGUUAUUUUCUAUACAGUUCAGAUGAGAAGUUGAUUUUUGUUUCAUUGUUUCCAUUUUUAAAAAAAGUUUUUGCCAGGAAGUUCUGCUAAUAAGUCUUAUUUGCUCUGGUGUACUAGUCUAGUAGUGUUUGCAUGUAGAUGUCUGUGGAUGACAGUUAUUGUAGCACUUUGGAAGUGCACUAAAAAUGUGCCACUAUCAAAUGUUUCUAUAUUGUGUGUGUGCUAGUACACGCACGCGUGCACACAAACACACAUACAUUUUAUAAGUGGUUGUAUUCAUUUAGUGAAAAAGUAGACAUACUUUAAAAAAAAACUUGGAGAAAUGCUUGGAAUUUCAUUGUGUUCACCCAUUCAAAGUUUUCUCUCUUUGCUUUGGAAAUAUUUGUACUCAUAAGAGAUAUUUCAAAAAUGUUAUUCAUUAAAACCUCUUAAAUAACCACUAUUUUUCAUGUCUAGCAAAUGAGUAUGUCAAGGACUAAGAUUAAUACACAAAUAAUAAAAGUCAAAUAAAUUGUUAAACAUGAAGAAAAUUUAAUGCUGUGACUACAUUUUUUAACUCCCUAAAUCAACUUCCUUCUAAAAAUUCAUAAUUAUAUUCUUUCCUAUUUAUUCCUUGAAUUUUCAAAGAUUAAAUGCUACUUUUAUUUUUUAAAUAAUUUGCUUUUUAAAAAAUUUUUAGUUGUAGAUGGACAUAAUAGCUUUGUUAAUUUAUCUUUAUGUGGUGCUGAGGCUCAAACCCAGUGCCUUACACAUACUAGGCGAGUACGCUACCACUGAGCCACAACAUCAGCCCUGUAAAUGCUACUUUUCUUAAAGAUAAUAAAUUUUAUUUGUACAUGGGUUUUAUUGAAGAAAUUUGUUCAAAUUGUUUAUCUUGGUUUACAGAGUGGUGCAGACCAGCAAUCAAAGCUGCUUGGGAGGCUGAGGCAGGACAGCAAGUUUGAGGCCAGCCUAAGCAACUUAGCCAGACCCUGUGUCAAAAUAAAUAUGAAGAGGCCUGGGAGUAUAGAUGAAUGGUAGAGAGCCCCUGGGUUUAUCCCUCAUACCCUCAAAAACCAAAAUUAACAAACCAACGAUUUAUCUUUCAACACCCUUUUCUAGAAAAAUACAGAAAACAACUUUGUGCUCUCAAGGUAUCCAUGACAGUAAAAUCCAUUUUGAUGCAUUUAUACAAGAAUGGAGUAUGUCUUAUUUUAAUUAGGAUCCCAGUCUUGUGGAUAUACAUGAUGUUUACAAAAUAGAGGAGGAAGAUAAUUUCAUGAUGACAUUUGGCUCAUGUGACAGAAGGAAACUGGCCACACAUGUGUUUGGAAAUCAUCUAGAAGAGAAAGCCCUAAAGGAAAUUCCAGUGAAUGGAGCAGCCACAGUUCAUCCCAGGUUAGUUUCAGCUUUAGUACAGCCACAGUGAGUACUUUCCUGUUGAAAGUGCCAACAUUAGUUAGUUAAUACCAACUCAAAUCAAGUCUUAGCACUUGCAAGUUGUAAGAAGAUUUAGCAUUUUUUUCCCUUAAAUUCACAUGCUAUUAUUUUGCACUUCUUGGAGCUCAUUAUUAAUUUUUAUUAUAAUUUAGCAGGAAUUUCAUCAAUUUUCAUAUUUUAUAAUAAUAGAAAAACUUAAAUAUUUUAUAGCCAUUUAAAAAUCCUUUUCACUAAAUCUUUUUUUUUUAUGGCAUAAGCACAUUUUCCUGUGUUAUCUGAGUAUGUCUCAAUCAUCUCUAUAUGUUGGAAGAAAUAAAAUCAGGGCUUUGUUAACAUUAUUUAGUUCAAAUUUUUAAUUAUAGCUUUGGAAUGUUGGCUACUUUGAAAAAGGUGUCAGUUAAGAAAACUUCCGCCAAUAUUCACAGAUCAAUGCUAGAACUCCUGAAAAAUAAUGAAUGAGGAAUGAGAAAUUUGGUAAGUUACAAAAAAGUGUAUGAUUUUGUGGUUUUAAAAUUAUCUCUUUAUAUUUAUCAAGUUUGUUACUAAAUAUAAUCUUAAAUAUUGAAUAAAGACAUAGAAGACUUUUAUUUAUUUAUUUAUUUAUUUAUUUUUGUGGUGCUGGGGAUUAGAACCCAGGGCCUUGUGUAUGCAAGAUAGGCACUCUAUCAACUGAGCUGUAUCCCCAACCUGUAGAAGACUUUUAAUUUCCAUGUAUUACAAAGUCAUCGACUGGAACUUUAAAAAAAUUAGCUACUGGGUAUUAUGUUUUAUUUUUAUAAAAGCCAUUAUAUAUAUAUGUAUAUAUAUAUAUACACAUAUAUAUAUAC